UGGUGAGAUUAAAUUCAUCAGAGCUACAGCAAAUGCAUUAAGUGAUCCGCCUGGGGAGUACGUCCGCAAGGAUGAAACUCAAAGGAGUUGACGGGGACCCGCACAAGCGGUGGAGCAUGUUCUUUAAUUCGAUGCAACACGAAGAACCUUACCUGGGUUUGACAUCCGCGGAAUCGCUACGAAAGUAGCGAGUGCUCACUUUGUGAGAACCGCGUGACAGGUACUGCAUGGCUGUCGUCAGUUCGUGUCGUAAGAUGUUGGGUUAAGUCCCGUAACGAACGCAACCCCUGUCUUUAGUUGCCAGCAUUAAGUUGGGGACUCUAGAGAGACUGCCAAGGUGACAACUUGGAGGAAGGUGGGGAUGACGUCAAGUCCAUAUGGUCCUUACAUCCAGGGCGAGAAACGUGCUACAAUGGUUGGUACAAAGGGGAGCAAAAUCGCAAGAUUGAGCAAAUCCUCAAAACCAAUCUCAGUUCGGAUUGGAGUCUGCAACCCGACUCCAUGAAGUUGGAAUCGCUAGUAAUCGCGGAUCAGCAUGCCGCGGUGAAUACGUAUCCGGGUCUUGUACACACCGCCCGUCAAGUCAACCGAGUUAUUCCCCCCGAAGUUGGUGAA
rnacentral:rRNA from 1 species